AAAGAGGGGAACUUUUGUCUUUGAACAAAAGAACUUUGGUUUCUUUACUUCCAUCGACGUUGUUUUGCCUGCUCAGUACCCACUACCCCCUCCCAUAUGCUCAUUGCUUCCUUCCCAUUUUUCUUUCAAGGGGCAUGAUCUUUGAGCUGCGGUUCCCUUUACCUUUUAGCACGCGUAGUAGGCAAAACGACGUUGUUUUCCCUUUUGUGUAUCGUUUUGUUAGAGUGGUAGUCCUUCCCUACGUCAGUUCUCGCUUGCCCGAACAUCAAUGAUUUGCCCUGUGGUUGCUGGCUUGCUGCCAUGGAGAUUUGUUUCUUCGAUUUUCGUAUCCUACGCCUUCAAUCAAGGGUCGUAAUUUUUGCUGGUGUGCUGUAUAUGUGUAGGGGUUUUACUUUUUUGAUUGAUUUCUUUUGACAAUUGGUGGAGGGUAUGGGUUGUUUGAGGAUGGUAGCAGGUUUUGGUGUUUGAUGGGAAGAUGCAGAGUGCUGAAACGGAUGAGUUUAUUUGCCAUGAAUGCUUGGUUCAUAUAAAGAUUUGAUAGAAGGAAACUGGUUUUAUUUGU
rnacentral:misc_RNA from 1 species